GGUUAAGCGACUAAGCGUACACGGUGGAUGCCCUGGCAGUCAGAGGCGAUGAAGGACGUGCUAAUCUGCGAAAAGCGUCGGUAAGGUGAUAUGAACCGUUAUAACCGGCGAUGUCCGAAUGGGGAAACCCAGUGUGAUUCGUCACACUAUCGUUAACUGAAUACAUAGGUUAACGAGGCGAACCGGGGGAACUGAAACAUCUAAGUACCCCGAGGAAAAGAAAUCAACCGAGAUUCCCCCAGUAGCGGCGAGCGAACGGGGAGCAGCCCAGAGUCUGAAUCAGCUUGUGUGUUAGUGGAACGGUCUGGAAAGUCCGACGGUACAGGGUGAUAGUCCCGUACACCAAAAUGCACAGGCUGUGAACUCGAAGAGUAGGGCGGGACACGUGGUAUCCUGUCUGAAUAUGGGGGGACCAUCCUCCAAGGCUAAAUACUCCUGACUGACCGAUAGUGAACCAGUACCGUGAGGGAAAGGCGAAAAGAACCCCGGCGAGGGGAGUGAAAAAGAACCUGAAACCGUGUACGUACAAGCAGUGGGAGCACCUUCGGGUGUGACUGCGUACCUUUUGUAUAAUGGGUCAGCGACUUAUAUUCUGUAGCAAGGUUAACCGUAUAGGGGAGCCGCAGGGAAACCGAGUCUUAACUGGGCGUUAAGUUGCAGGGUAUAGACCCGAAACCCGGUGAUCUAGCCAUGGGCAGGUUGAAGGUUGGGUAACACUAACUGGAGGACCGAACCGACUAAUGUUGAAAAAUUAGCGGAUGACUUGUGGCUGGGGGUGAAAGGCCAAUCAAACCGGGAGAUAGCUGGUUCUCCCCGAAAGCUAUUUAGGUAGCGCCUCGUGAAUUCAUCUUCGGGGGUAGAGCACUGUUUCGGCUAGGGGGUCAUCCCGACUUACCAACCCGAUGCAAACUACGAAUACCGAAGAAUGUUAUCACGGGAGACACACGGCGGGUGCUAACGUCCGUCGUGAAGAGGGAAACAACCCAGACCGCCAGCUAAGGUCCCAAAGUCAUGGUUAAGUGGGAAACGAUGUGGGAAGGCACAGACAGCCAGGAUGUUGGCUUAGAAGCAGCCAUCAUUUAAAGAAAGCGUAAUAGCUCACUGGUCGAGUCGGCCUGCGCGGAAGAUGUAACGGGGCUAAACCAUGCACCGAAGCUGCGGCAGCGACACUAUGUGUUGUUGGGUAGGGGAGCGUUCUGUAAGCCUGCGAAGGUGACCUGUGAGGGUUGCUGGAGGUAUCAGAAGUGCGAAUGCUGACAUAAGUAACGAUAAAGCGGGUGAAAAGCCCGCUCGCCGGAAGACCAAGGGUUCCUGUCCAACGUUAAUCGGGGCAGGGUGAGUCGACCCCUAAGGCGAGGCCGAAAGGCGUAGUCGAUGGGAAACAGGUUAAUAUUCCUGUACUUGGUGUUACUGCGAAGGGGGGACGGAGAAGGCUAUGUUAGCCGGGCGACGGUUGUCCCGGUUUAAGCAUGUAGGCUGGUUGUCCAGGCAAAUCCGGAUAAUCAAGGCUGAGGUGUGAUGACGAGGCACUACGGUGCUGAAGUAACAAAUGCCCUGCUUCCAGGAAAAGCCUCUAAGCAUCAGGUAACAUCAAAUCGUACCCCAAACCGACACAGGUGGUCAGGUAGAGAAUACCAAGGCGCUUGAGAGAACUCGGGUGAAGGAACUAGGCAAAAUGGUGCCGUAACUUCGGGAGAAGGCACGCUGGUGUGUAGGUGAAGUCCCUGCGGAUGGAGCUGAGACCAGUCGAAGAUACCAGCUGGCUGCAACUGUUUAUUAAAAACACAGCACUGUGCAAACACGAAAGUGGACGUAUACGGUGUGACGCCUGCCCGGUGCCGGAAGGUUAAUUGAUGGGGUUAUCCGUAAGGAGAAGCUCUUGAUCGAAGCCCCGGUAAACGGCGGCCGUAACUAUAACGGUCCUAAGGUAGCGAAAUUCCUUGUCGGGUAAGUUCCGACCUGCACGAAUGGCGUAAUGAUGGCCAGGCUGUCUCCACCCGAGACUCAGUGAAAUUGAACUCGCUGUGAAGAUGCAGUGUACCCGCGGCAAGACGGAAAGACCCCGUGAACCUUUACUAUAGCUUGACACUGAACAUUGAGCCUUGAUGUGUAGGAUAGGUGGGAGGCUUUGAAGCGUGGACGCCAGUCUGCGUGGAGCCAACCUUGAAAUACCACCCUUUAAUGUUUGAUGUUCUAACGUUGGCCCCUUACCGGGGUUGCGGACAGUGUCUGGUGGGUAGUUUGACUGGGGCGGUCUCCUCCCAAAGCGUAACGGAGGAGCACGAAGGUUAGCUAAUCCUGGUCGGACAUCAGGAGGUUAGUGCAAUGGCAUAAGCUAGCUUGACUGCGAGCGUGACGGCGCGAGCAGGUGCGAAAGCAGGUCAUAGUGAUCCGGUGGUUCUGAAUGGAAGGGCCAUCGCUCAACGGAUAAAAGGUACUCCGGGGAUAACAGGCUGAUACCGCCCAAGAGUUCAUAUCGACGGCGGUGUUUGGCACCUCGAUGUCGGCUCAUCACAUCCUGGGGCUGAAGUAGGUCCCAAGGGUAUGGCUGUUCGCCAUUUAAAGUGGUACGCGAGCUGGGUUUAGAACGUCGUGAGACAGUUCGGUCCCUAUCUGCCGUGGGCGCUGGAGAAUUGAGGGGGGCUGCUCCUAGUACGAGAGGACCGGAGUGGACGCAUCACUGGUGUUCGGGUUGUCAUGCCAAUGGCACUGCCCGGUAGCUAAAUGCGGAAGAGAUAAGUGCUGAAAGCAUCUAAGCACGAAACUUGCCCCGAGAUGAGUUCUCCCUGAGACUUUAAGUCUCCUGAAGGAACGUUGAAGACGACGACGUUGAUAGGCCGGGUGUGUAAGCGCAGCGAUGCGUUGAGCUAACCGGUACUAAUGAACCGUGAGGCUUAACCUU
rnacentral:rRNA from 3 species